rnacentral:rRNA from 1 species
UGGGGAAUUUUGGACAAUGGGCGAAAGCCUGAUCCAGCCAUGCCGCGUGAGUGAAGAAGGCCUUCGGGUUGUAAAGCUCUUUUAGUCGGAAAGAAAGAGUCGCAAUGAAUAAUUGUGAUUUAUGACGGUACCGACAGAAAAAGCACCGGCUAACUACGUGCCAGCAGCCGCGGUAAUACGUAGGGUGCGAGCGUUAAUCGGAAUUACUGGGCGUAAAGGGUGCGCAGGCGGUUUUGCAAGUCAGAUGUGAAAGCCCCGGGCUUAACCUGGGAAUUGCGUUUGAAACUACAAGGCUAGAGUGCAGCAGAGGGGAGUGGAAUUCCAUGUGUAGCAGUGAAAUGCGUAGAGAUGUGGAAGAACACCGAUGGCGAAGGCAGCUCCCUGGGUUGACACUGACGCUCA